CCCUUAGAUGUUCUGGGCCGCACGCGCGCUACACUGAUGCAUUCAACGAGUUUCUUCCUGGUCCGAGAGGAAUGGGUAACCUUUUGAAAGUGCAUCGUGAUAGGGAUAGACUAUUGCAAUUAUUGGUCUUCAACGAGGAAUUCCUAGUAGACGUAGUUCAUCAGACUGCAUCGAGUACGUCCCUGCCCUUUGUACACACCGCCCGUCGCUCCUACCGAUUGAAUGCUCAGGUGAGCCAUUCGGACUUUCAUCAUGCUGGUUUCCAGUUUUGAUGAAGGAAAGUCUUGCGAACCUUAUCAUUUAGAGGAAGGAGAAGUCGUAACA
rnacentral:rRNA from 1 species